UAGGGAAUCUUCGGCAAUGGGGGCAACCCUGACCGAGCAACGCCGCGUGAGUGAAGAAGGUUUUCGGAUCGUAAAGCUCUGUUGUAAGAGAAGAACGUGUGUGAGAGUGGAAAGUUCACACAGUGACGGUAACUUACCAGAAAGGGACGGCUAACUACAUGCCAGCAGCCGCGGUAAUACGUAGGUCCCGAGCGUUGUCCGGAUUUAUUGGGCGUAAAGCGAGCGCAGGCGGUUUAAUAAGUCUGAAGUUAAAGGCAGUGGCUUAACCAUUGUUCGCUUUGGAAACUGUUAAACUUGAGUGCAGAAGGGGAGAGUGGAAUUCCAUGUGUAGCGGUGAAAUGCGUAGAUAUAUGGAGGAACACCGGUGGCGAAAGCGGCUCUCUGGUCUGUAACUGACGCUGAGGCUCGAAAGCGUGGGGAGCAAACAGG
rnacentral:rRNA from 1 species